rnacentral:rRNA from 1 species
AUUGAACGCUGGCGGCAUGCCUUACACAUGCAAGACGAACGGCAGCACGGGAGCAAUCCUGGUGGCGAGUGGCGAACGGGUGAGUAAAGUAUCAGAACGUGCCCAGUCGUGGGGGAUAACGUAGCGAAAGUUACGCUAAUACCGCAUACGAUCUAUGGAUGAAAGCGGGGGAUCGCAAGACCUCGCGCGAUUGGAGCGGCCGAUAUCAGAUUAGGUAGUUGGUGGGGUAAAGGCUCACCAAGCCGACGAUCUGUAGCUGGUCUGAGAGGACGACCAGCCACACUGGGACUGAGACACGGCCCAGACUCCUACGGGAGGCAGCAGUGGGGAAUUUUGGACAAUGGGCGAAAGCCUGAUCCAGCCAUGCCGCGUGCAGGAUGAAGGCCUUCGGGUUGUAAACUGCUUUUGUACGGAACGAAAAGGUUUGGCCUAAUAAGCUGAGCUCAUGACGGUACCGUAAGAAUAAGCACCGGCUAACUACGUGCCAGCCGCCGCAGUAA